rnacentral:piRNA from 1 species
UGUCCUGAUAGUGCCAGGGGAACAGGCCCAG